rnacentral:lncRNA from 1 species
AAUGAAAAAAAAUCAGUAAGUCAUUAGGGCAACUCUCUUGCCCCGUAGAGGAAGGUAUUUGGGAUUUGGAAGAUUCACAGUUCAAUUAUCUCACCCCAGAUCAUGCUUUCAUGAAAUCGUGGGAAUUUCUCUUAGGACGAAAUCCAUACGACAACUAAGGAUACUUUCUCCCCUUCAAAUGAGGUAACAACUUUUCGACGAAGAAGAUCAUUGAAUCUCCUCAAGGCGAGCUUCAACCAUAUUUUUUCUCUAGGUUUAUUUGGUUCUAAUUUGCCAAGUAAUCAUCAAGUAUCGGCACCUUUUUUGUCAUGCAUUGUUUUUCUUUCUUUUCUGCGUUCUAAUUUUGCUUUAAUAUUUAUUCUGGUUCUUGUGUUUCUAUAAACAUCGUAGUUAGUCACUUCACAAUAAGCAUUUGUGUACAUGGCGUAAAUCACUUGACUGAAACAAAUCUUUGUUGUUGAAUUCAUAUUCUGGAUUUUACCUUUUUUUUUUUAAUUUUGAAACUUUAAAUAUGCAAAAAUUUCGAAGAUUGUAUACACCCCCGAAGCAUACUUGACACUCUAUAGCUAUCGCGGUAGCAAGAUUAUUCACUGAGUUCAAUGUGGUCUAAGUAUGUAAGAAUGUGAGUUGUCAAAAUAUAAAGAUCAUAAUACGUGCAAAUUGUAUGCAGCGAACCAAAAUCAAAGAGAAAUUUUAGAAAGGUUUUGCUUUCUUAUUGACAUUAAUGGAGUAUAUAUCUAUUUGAUUUAUUUCCCAGGUAGAGGAGUUCUCAGGACUCUUUUCCAUUCCCCACAUUAUUCUAUUAGUUCUCUUCUGCUAAUUUACUGGCUGUGGCUGCCACAUGAGGCUUUCAUGCUUACUUUAACCCGGUCUUGUUAGUGCUACUGUGGCUCAAACUCCAUUAUCAUUUCCUUUUUCUUUUUCUUGUUUUCUCCUGCAGAAUGAAAACAUAGAACAUAUAAAACGUUAAUAUUAUGGUUGUUUAUGAAUGAUUAGUAAACCUUUUUUGUUUGUUGUAUUCUUAAAAACUCUGCUAUUCUGUUGGAAAGACAGUAAGCUGUCGCCUCAAUGGUUAUCAUGGGAUUAACUCCAACGGCACUUGGCAGAACACUAGCAUCACAAACGAAUAAGCCUUCUGCUUCCCAACUCUCCCCAUUCUCAUUAACUGCACCUUCUUUCUCGUUGAUCCCCAUUCUACAACUUCCCAUCUGAUGAGCAGAAGAAUAGAGCACCCAGUUCUCUGCAAAGGAUAUUGCCCCGUCCACUGGAGAAACUGUCUCCAAAAAUUCCUCUAUUUCCUUCUCAUUUAGCCCUUUACAUUUGAUUCUUUGCCCAUCGCUUCGGUGGGUGCCCACUUCAACUGCUCCAGCUGCUAUUAAAAUCUGAAUUGCCCGCCGCAAUCCAGCCUUUAAAUUUUCUUUGUCUUCUCUGCUGAGGUAAUAGCUUAUUCUUCCCUCCAACUUCACUUCUCCUGACCCCUGGUCCCUUACAAUUGUAAUCAAGUGAGACGUUCGUGAAAAUUUUGUCAUUCUGUUUUUCAUAUCAAGUCCAGAUACCCAUGGGCAUAAUGUGGCAAAUGAUGCAGGACCAAGUUGAGGAGUUUCUAUGAUGGCUUUUACAUCAGAAUCUCCUGAUACUACCUUAUGGACUGAUGUGAUUAUUCCACCCUCGUAGGAUUUUCCCUUGAACUCUGUAUUUGGCUCCGGAAAGUAUCCCCAAGCCAUUAGAACAGGAUGAAGAUGAAGGUUUCGACCAAUGUUUCGGUUCUUCAAUCCACUGGAAAGCAUUAAGGGAGGUGUCAAAAGUGCCCCACAUGCUGAGAUUGUUACUUUAGCUUCAAAUUGCAGUUUCAUCGUUAUGGUUUCAUUCAAUGAUUUUGCAAUCACUCCCAGGCAUUUCCUUUUCCUCUUACUGCCACUUUUGUUUUUCUCUAAUAUGAAUCUCUCAGCUUUGCAUCCGGUUAAGAUCACUGCACCAUGGUUUACAGCAUCCACCAGCCAUGUGCAAUCAGUCCCUUUCUUGUCUCCUUGUUUACAACCAUAGCCACAAGAUCCACAGUAAUGAUCCUCUGAGGAAUUACGUGGCACCUUUUCAACUUUGAGACCCAGAUUUUCGCACCCUUUUCGAAGUACUUGAUUUUGAAAGCUCUCCUGAACACAAUUCUCGGUCACACCAAGUCUUUUACAUACAAUAUCCAUGGCAGAGAGAUAUUCCGUGGUGCCAAAGACCGGGAUCUUAUGGUUGUCAGCCCAUUCCCGAAGCACAGACUUCGGUGUUUUGAUGCAUGCUGACCAGUUGACAGCUGAGCCACCACCCACUGUUGCUCCUGCUAAAAUCAUCAUAUUCCCAUCUACAGUUGGAAGGACCCCUCCACAUUCAUAAAGUCGUUCUAACGAGGGUCCCUCAUAGGGAGAAUAUUCUGCUGGAGUGAAAUAGUCUCCUUUCUCGAGGACAACCACCUUUUGGCCUGAGCUUGCUAAAACAGCAGCUGCAACACCUCCACCACAACCAGAGCCUACAAUGACAACAUCACAUUGGACUUUAAUGUGCUCCUGUUUGGAAUCUUGUGUCGCUUUGAGACCUUUCUGGAUAAGAGAUUGAACAAGAGUUUCAUGAGUCUCAUGUUUGGUCUCUAUCAUUCCCUUUUGAAGGAGUCUGUCUUUUGGAACUUGGGACAGAUCCCCAUCAGUUUCUAGCUGAUACCCUAUGGCUUUCCAGGCUGGGUUUUUAACUGUUCCAUCGACCUGCAGCAAGAAUUUGAAACUUGAGAAUCAUAAAUAUGAUUGAAAGUAUGUAUAGUUCUGAGUAUAUUUCUAGCAUAAUGUAUUAUAUAUUUGAACUUCAAAGAAGGGAUUAAGGGAAAAAUAAUCCUAACUCAGCUUCCUUAGGGCUAAGUUUAUAAUCCUUCAGUUGCAAAUUAGGAUCACAAUUACUGGAAAUUUGUAAUUCAUGAUUUCUGAAUGAUCAUGCCCUUGAAUUUAGCAUUUGAGAAUUUGUCUUAGGAGUUCUUUUUUUGGUUCUAUUGGAAUCCCGCUAGCUCCUGUGAUAUCAAUUACUCUGGUACUUAGAAAUAUUGGUUUCCCGUUUAGUGCGAUGAUAUAUGAUUUUUCUUUCAUUUAAAAGGCGGGUUAUUCUAUGAGGAUAAAAGUUGUUUCCUACUUUUAUAAAAUCUAACCUAAAGUUAUUUCUAAAGUCGAACCCAAUCGAGGCCCCUUGUCUACAAGAGAGCAUAUGGGGCGUGUUUCUUUUGAAAUAUGAGUUGUAUUUUGAGCCUAUUCAGGAAAUUUCUUAGCCAGUUCAAGGAGAUGAUGCAUCUUCUGUGUUCCGCUGUUUAUUUACGUAAGUAAAUACAUAAAUAAAUAUUUAUCUGGCACUUUCUGAAAGUUGCUUCAAAAUGUUUGAUAUAGUGGAUAUUAUCAUUUUUAUCAUUCUACAAUGGAGUAGUUGAAAUAGUAAGCAAAAAAAAUAAAGAUUGUACCAAAAGAUGUUGGCUGAAAAAAAAAAGUUGGAUAUUUUGCUUUCAAAAGAAAGAGAAGAAAGUUUGAAAUUCAAGUAACCAGUAAUGAGAAAAAGGCUCCUCCUAGAUAAAUAAACCGUUAAAGAGAUUGUGUUUAGCUGAGUUUGUUUGAACUGCAUACGCUACCAGAGAACUUAAAUCCUGUUAAAAUGGAAGGAAAUAAUCAUUUUGAUAUAGCCAUAAUUAGGAGUGUAGGAAACUUGUUGUUCAACUAAAUUAGAUUGUUAAUAUCUCAAUUCUCAGCAUUUGAUGAUUUAAUAUUGUUGUACCUAUUUAGUGUUUACUCUCACCCCGAUAUAGCAUUCAGAAUAACAUUUUGUUGUAUGAUAAAUUUGAGUGUUGACUAAUGAUAGGAAACAUGUGCAAGCACAUGUAUGCAGUUAAUGUUAUAUUAAAAAAAAUGUAUGUGCAAGAAAAAUUUAGCUGCUUCCUGGAAUAGCUGAAACUUGCAAAGGUGGAAAUACAAAAUGAAAAAGGAGAAAAUCAUAUGCAUUAUAUGUGAAUGAGUAGGUAAAAGAUUAAAUACCCUGGAGAAGAAAAUGUAGAGGCACAUGACUUUGACGUAGAUAAAGGCAAUCCUGAUUGGAGUAAAGAGGCAAUGCUUGAACCAUUUCUGCAG